AUAUAUAAAUUAUUCCAUAGUUUAUUGAAAAUUGAUGACAAUUACAAUAUCAAGUUUGUAAUUAUGUUUUUAGCACAAUAAAUAGAAAAGUGUAUAAGAAUUACUAAUUGUGUGAAUGUGUUUUUGAACCAUGUUGAAUUUAAGUUAUUUUUUCUUUUUUCAUUGUAUUUCCAAUAUAAGAUUAGCUUAAUUAUUAUUAUAUGCUAUAAUUUUUAAAUUUUUCUUUACAGAUGUGUUUUGAAAAAAAACAUAUAAUUUGAAUAAAUUUUAUGAAAUAAAUUGAUGUUGAUUUAUUUAAAAAAAUUAAUCUCAAGAUAAAUUAUUUUAAUUACAAUAGGUCAUUGACUUGAAAUUUAAAGAAAAAAAUUAAGUAAAUGUUUUCAACUAUAUUCUAUAAUAAUAUCAAAAUUUAUAGUGUUAUAAUUAAAAUCAAAAUCAAUAUAUAUUUUUAUAAAGAACUAUAUAUAUAAAUAUAUGAUAUUUUAUUCAAUUUCUAGCUAUAUAUUAUAUAUUUUUUUAAAUUACUUUAACUCAUGUUUAAAUAAAUAAAUAAAUAAAUAAAAUUAUUUUUUUUACAUGUGUAAUUAAUUAUACAUUAAGUCCAUGAUCUGAUUUGUAAAAGGUAAAUUGUCUUCUAUAAUAUUUCCUCAAUCUACCAAAAAAAUUUUUUUCUAGACUUUGUUGUUAUAUUAAUAUAGAAUUAAUUUUGAAGAACUUGAAUGCAAAAUUUCCUACUAAUGUACAAGGUGAAAUGCUUAAGAAGCAUAGAUUUUGAUAUCAAUAAACUAAUUUUUUGGAAAUUUGUGUCAAAAAUCUAUAACAAUGGCAUGGAUUCAACUAGGCUAUAUAUUAAGAUAAGUGAAGGCAGAUAAGUGAAGGCUUUCAUUCACAAAUGGAUGGAUCUUUGUUUUCAUCAAAAAAAUUCAUCUUUUCUAGAGUUUAUAUGUCAUUUUACUAUUCAUCGGUCUUUAUUUUCAUCAAAAAACUUAAUGUUGUCUAAAGUUCACAAGGUGUUUUAUCGUUGAUCAUAGGAUAUUUUACAUUAAAGCGGUAGCAAGAGUAUAAAUUAAAGGAUUUUUUGUAUAUCUAUGUGGCUGGACUCUCUUUUGGUCUCAAGGAGUGUAAUGUUCUCAUGGUCUUUUGAUGAAAACAAAGAUUGAUGAAUUGGAUAUGAGAGAGAAAAAAAGUGAGAUACUAUUAAUGAUGGACUGUGGCAUUGAGGAAAAAGGAACAAUGUAGAAUGUCAGAUCACUUUACAUAUAUUUAAGAUGCAGUACCAAGAUUGCAUAGAAAAACUGAGCUAAGUUAAGAAUCUUUGAGAAUAGAGCCAUUUGUCUUAAAUUCUUUCACCUGCUCAAUAUAAAAAGUGCUAAAGACUUCUACGUUUAAGGACCAAAAACUAUGGAAUUGUAAUGUAAGAAAAUACAACACACACACAUUGAAAAAGUGAUCAAUUGGAUUUUUACUAUAAUAGAUUGGACAAUGAGUUGAAUAAAUGAUUAGGCAUAAAAAAUUCAAUGAAAGGAUAAAAUCUUAAAUUUAAUCACUAAAGUUGUAUCUACACAAUUAUUUAUUACAUUAAUAAAGACUGAUAAAGUUAUUUAAAUUAUUAUCACAACUAUAAUAGGAGCCAUGUGAAAGAUCACUCUUACAGGGUGUAGAAUAUAAAAGUUUAUUUUGGAGGAAAAAAAACAAUAUAACACUGAAAUUCAAAUUCCUUGACAUGAUCCAAAAUUCAAACAUAAUAGCAAAUUGUAGACCCAUCCAACAAAGAGUGCAAGUUCUGGAGUUAAAGAAGUGAGUUUUAUCAAAAAACUUGCUUUGUGAUCUUGAUUUCUAGAUGUGAGUACAAUUCCCUUGAUCUUCUACUGCAUUGAAUAUUACUUCUCCAUUGUUGAUUUGUUCCUUUUGAUUCCUUUAAUGGGUAAAAUUUCUAUUAUAGAAUCACAAAUCUAUUUAAUGGAAUUUGUUUGUGCAUGAGUUGUAUAAUGAAGUUUUAGGUGUUUAUGUAAUUUGUAAAAAAAUUCACCUCCAGAGAGAUAAAAGAAAAACAAUGCAUAGUCAAGCAAAAAUAAAGAAUAAAAAAUAAAAUUCUUGCAAGAAUUCUUCACUUCUAAAUUAUAUUUGUGACAAAAUUACACUUUCAAUUAUUAAAAAAUUGACAUGUAUACAUCAGUUUUAAAAACUUAUUUUAUAAUUAAAAAAUCCUUUGACAUUGCUAAAUUUAUAUUAAAUAUUUAUAUAUGAUGUUUUUCUCUUGAAAAUGACAUAUUGAAACCAAUUAAAAAUCAAUUUUGUAUAAAAUCAUUGUAAGUCAUUUACAAAAUAUUACUUUUUUUCAAAAUCCAUGUUUUUAAUUUUCAAACCUAGGUCUGAUAAAUCUUAUUAUGCUGUAUGUUUUGCUGAUUUUAUUUGCAAAAGGUUUUUGUAAAGAGUAAUGUUUCCAAAUCCAUUUUGUUAUUUCUACUCUGUGUUCAUCAUAGCAAAGUUGCAAUAAGCAGAUGCUCUCAAAAUCAAGAUCACUUUUUAAAGCACAAGAAUAUAACCCAUGUAUACUAAGGCAAAACAGAUGCACUUCUUAAUCCACCUAUUGUUUGUGAUAGUAUUGCCAGCAUUUAGGGUUUCAACACUAAAAACAAUAACUAAAAUAAGGAAUACUGACCUCAUGCUGUGAACACAAGUAAUUUCAAGAUACAAAAGAAGGAAAGAAGAGAAAAGAAAAGGUGCAUGUGAGGCAGAGUUGCACUUGAACUUACAGUGAUGUAACUUCUAAAUCAAAUCCAUGUCACAAAAUCCAACACAAACUAAUUGCAGUAUACCACAGAAUGGAGUAAACUACAUUUUCUUUGAAGUCAACAACACACACUGUGAAGUUGUUCUCUUUGGAAAUUUGUUUACAUUGCUUGUUCUCAUAUAUGCAUUCUAAUGAUCUGGCCAUCACAAAUGAGAUCAAGAUGGAUGGAGAGAAAAGUGUACUUCACCCCAAUAUUGUAGCUUAAAGUCUCAACAGCUGCAUAGAGACAAAGGAAGUACUAUGUAAAUUAUAGUGAAAACAAACACAUAAACAAAGUAGGUAGAUUGAAAACACAAUCUUAUUGGAAGACUAGUUGAAAUACUCAAUUUAAAAAACCUCAAUAACCAAUUACUAAUAUUUAUGAUAUUAAAUUUAUGAUAAAAAAAUUACUAACAUUUAUGAUAUUUAUGAUAUUUUUAAUCAAUUUUUGAUAAAUAUUAUAUCCAUUAAUCUAUUUAAAUUGAAUAGAUUUUAUACUUUAAAUAAGAUUUAAAUCCAUUGCAUCAUAUUAAUCUUCUUUUGGCACUUGUUAUUUUUUAAGAAAAUAUUUUAUAAUUAAAGCCAUAUCUUACAUAUUUUUAAAUAAUUUUGAUAUGUCUUCAGAUAAUACAAUAUUCUUUCCAAAAAAAAAAUAUUAAUAAUAUAGUUAAUAGAUUUUUUUUACAUUUGUUAAGAGUUGUCAUCUUAUAGACAUGUUAUUUCUUAUGGCUUUGUCUUAAGAUUGAGACUUUGGUGAUGCUACUAAGAAAUAUUGCUCCUUGCCAAGGACUUUGCAAUGGAACCCAAUUGAUAAUAAAACGACUAAUGGAUUGAGUUCUUGAAGAAAGAAUUUUUGCAAGAAAAUUUGUUGAAAACUUAGUGUUUAUUAUGCACAUUAACUUUCACAACAAAAGAACUUAUGUUUAUUCUAAAGAGAAAGCAAUUUCCAAUUUGUCUUUCAUUUGCAAUAACAAUUGGUGAAGCACAUUGGUUUAGAUCUACAACAACUUAUUUUUUUCCAUGGUAAACUUUAUGUAGCACUUUCUCAAUGCACUUCCUCCCAUUCUAUCAAGAUCCUUCUUCUUAAAAAUGACAAUUAAAAUUCCACUCUAAAUAUUAUUUUUUUAGAAGUUUUAAUUAGAUAAAUAUUAGUAAUUUAUUUUAUAUUUUAUAUUUUUAUUUAUUUAUUUCUUGACUUUAAUACAUCUUUGAAUGUCAUAACAUACUUUUAUGAUUUUUUAAAGUAUUUUUUUUAAAAAAUAUUUUCACAAGUAGUUCCUUGAACAAAACUAAGUACUUUUUUUUUUGCAUAUUAUCUAUGACAACAACAUAGAUUUACAUAUCCUACUUUGUAGCUAAAAGCUCCAUUGUAUAUUUUAUUUCUUUCUAUUUAUAUUAUAUUAUAUUUGUAUUUG
rnacentral:lncRNA from 1 species